UACAGAUGCUCUUGCUCUUGAUAAACUUUCCUUAAUUGAUGUUGGAAUGGUCUUAUAAGGCGUUUGCUGCUGUGCACUGGGAUUUAUCCAGCUAACACUAAUCUGUGAAUAUUGUAGCAAGUAUCUACAUUUGGGACCUCUCUUCUUUCUACUUUCCAACUUUCGCUCAUUAUGAAAUCUUCAGACUCAGUAGAGGAAACAAUGAUGGCAAGGACAACAUGUGGCGGCCCACAGGAACAUAAUCAUGUUAACUCCUGACUCUGCAAAAACUUAACACGUGGCAUUGUUAUUAGCAUUUUCUAAGAAA